rnacentral:lncRNA from 1 species
CCUGGCAAGCCUCCCUGGAGGCGGUGGCCUGGGCUGGGCUUAGGACCUUGCUUGGUGUUUACUUGGGCACAAGCCGUUUACUGGAGAGCUGCUUGGUUAGUUAAGUCCUGAAGGUGGGGGAUCUUGAAAUGGCUCCUUAGAAGCUGGGCCAGUUUUACUCCUCCUAAAUGGGUGGUAGAAUGUAGAUGAUUGAUAAAAGUUUCCCCAAGGGCUUGGGGCAUGAAGAUUCUGGAAUCAGGAAGAAUUCACCAACCUUCCUGAUUUUUACUGGCUUGAAGAUCCGAAGCUUGUUUUUCUUCCUCUGGGGAGUAUUCUGGGUAGUCUGCCCAGUCAGUUGUGGAAAGGACACAGAGGGCAGCAGGGUUAAAGGCACGACCAGGAGCUGAGCUGCCUCUCAAGCUGCAGAGUCUGCUCUUUGGUUACCACGAGCAAUGGCCAUGUCUUCUCUUUGAUGUCCUUUGCAGUGAAUUGCAGCCACCUGUUGAGGGAGCCAAACAGCUUCAAGCAGGGCUAAAAUUUCUUCUUUGUUGUUGACACUCUUUCCUGCUGAGGUAGGAAAUGCUGGGAAGAAAAAGCUGGGCCUUCUUGGCUGGGACCUGAUACCCGAAUUCCUGAAGGAGGUAAAGCAGGACUGGGAUGGCCAGCCCAACCGACUAAUGAGGAAUUUGACCUCCUGGGAUAGAAAAUCUGUACUAAGGACCUUGAAGAAGUCCUUGCCCAGUCAUUUUGGGCAGUAUCGACGAUCCGACAUAUGAAAUUUAGACAGACACUAAACAGGACAAUAGGCACUGGGGUAUAUAAACAAGCAUGGCAAUUUUUAUAGACAGACAAGGGGAGGGGGUCCCGUGAUGGGAUCAGUCAGAUGCCCUCCUGGCUGCUCCCCUUUCGGGGACUUAGGCUCCUCUUGGCAUUGGCAGGCUGGUAUAAACCCCUGGCUUGGAUCGAGCUAUGCCUGAUGCCGCCCUAAGCCUUAUGAGGUCACCACGGAACCACAGGUGAGGGCCUUCUCGAAUUCCCUAGCUUUCACCCUGGAGCUACAAACUGGAAAUUCAAGCGCAAGCCCUUGAACUCCACAUUCACUCACUCACUCACUCACUCAGAGUUUAUUACAAUUUUUAUACCCAUUCUAAAACAGAGAUCUCCCGGAGACCUGAAUGAGAGAGGGAGAAGAGAUAGAGAGAGAGAGAGACUAGACUUAACAGAGAAUCCUGACAGAAACCAGGACUCUGUCCUCCAGUGUCCUGGAGCAUGGACAGAGUCUGAGGGAGGACCUUCGUCAGGGCCGUUUCCCUCCCAGAGAGACAGAGUCAGAUCUGACUUACCUUCCCGGGACUAGAGACUGAGGACUCAGGAGUUGAAUUUGGCUGGGCGCACCGGCAGUCGAUCCGUUCCCCUCCAGAAGACAGUGGCCUGUGGAGCCCUGGAACGUCUUCAGGUGGCCCUGUAAGCCAGCUGUCUGUCUGGGGAAGCCCGGAAUGAGUCAGGUCUUCACCCGGUGGCGAAUCUCUCUGGGGCUUCCAAAUGUCGUAACCGAGCAAGUCAUAGAGAGAAUGCCACACUCUGAGACUAAUUCAGGAGUCCUUUAUUGCUGGCGACUGAGAAAGAGCUAGAGCUUGAAAUUCUCUCGGUCCGGAAGAAGAGGCUAGAGUUCUUUUUAUACCUUGGCCUAAAGAGGGGAGGGGGAGUCUAGCUGAAGCAAUUUUUUACAGAAGCAGAACAGGAAAAAAUUAAAAGAUAAAUGGUUACAGAAACAGUUACAGGAAAAUAAACAGUUCCAGGUGCAGGGGCUUAAAGUAUCCCAAAGUGAUAAAAGCAGGGGCUUUGGAUACCACCAACCAAGUGUGCUCCCAGGAGCUGCUGGUACAGCUUGCCUCAGUAUCUUAUCAAUAAGCGCAUUCUUGGAUGUGCUUGGAGUCAGCUUGCACCAGUUAUGUCCUUAAGGAGGGGGACAAGGGGCUGCAAGCGAAGAAACCAAGCUAAGACUCUCUCAGCUAUUGACUCUCUCGAUAUUGACUCUCAAUUGAGUCUCCCAAGCUAUUGACUCUCUCAGCUAAGAAAGAGUCAAUCAGGAUAAAACAAGAUAGGGUAUCACAAUUUGAUCUGCAAGAUUAUUUCCUGGACUUGUGAAAGGCGAGUCGUUUUGGUGCCCUGGGACAUGUACAAUAGCUAUCUCUUCUGGCAAUUGGAGAUUGUUGAGGACACGAGCAUCAGUUCUCUAUGAACUAAAUCUUGGCCUCUACUAUUGAUAAGAGCCCUCUCCAUCCAAAUUUUCCCAAAUGUGUGUGCCUCCCCAGAGGGAUACUUAGAGUCAGUAUAGAUAGAUUUUCUUGGUUUUGUAAAUGUCCUAAAGCUUGGCUGAGUGCAAACAGUUCACACCCUUGGACAGACCAAUUAUUAGACCCCCUUCCUGAUUUUACUUUUUUAACAGUCUUUCCAUUAAUCACUGAAUACCUAUUAUGUCUCUUUCUUUUAAUCACCUGGGAGGUUCCAUCUAUGAAUAAGUGCCACCCUGUCUUGAAGGGAGUUUUUCCUAAGUCUGGUUGAACUUUCGUAUGGUAAUUAAUUCGAUUUAAACACGCGUGCUCUCUCGUUUUACGUUUGGAUCCCCCGUUAAAGAGCCUGCUGAAUAAAGUGAAUUAUUAGUACUUAAUAUUAAAUCACCUUUUUCCCAGAAAGAUAGCCUCAUAUUUUAAAAUUUUUGAGUUGGUAAUCUCCCUCCUUGCGUUUUGAUUUAAUAUAGUUUUAACUUGGUGGGUUGUGGCCUGAAGCGGCUGGGGAGUAACUUGAAACCUCAGCUGAAGGGACAGCACAGGCUGGGGCGUGGCCUGAAACAGCUGGGGAGUAACCUGAAACCACAGCCGGAGGGACCUGAGAGGGGAACCAAAGGGGCAGGAUUGGGGGCGCUGAAGGAAGGAAGGUGAUUUAGAGGAUCCCAUGUCUUGGUAGGUAUGGGUUGUCUAGGCAUGGGAACUCUUUCCUUUUUAGAAAGGUUGGUUUCUGAUUUUCUCCCUCCAGAGUCUAAAGGGUAAAGGAGAACUGGUCCCUGCCGCCAGCAGAGGGCGUAAUCGAUUUUUCCUGGGACACAGGGCUCUUACUGUUAACAUAUUUGAUUAACAGCUGACAAAUUCGCUCUUCAUUAGACUUAAAUUUUGGCCAGAAAAGUGAGGGCUUAAGGAUGGGUUCUCGAACUUAAAUAAAACAACAAUAUUCUAUCAUCUGCUGUUUUUGUUUAUACUUGGUUCUCUUAUUAUUUUUUCAAUACUUUAGCAUAAGCCCCAAGGGGCUAUCAGAAGGAAAUUCAUCACUCUCUAGACUCUUUAGUUUUCCUGUCUUACUUGAAACGUUCCCCAUCUUAGGGAUUAUGGGGAGGAGGCCCAACCCCUCCUGUGAGAUUUCUACCCUCCCCCUUCCUGGAGGCUUACUGAGGCUUUGGGGAAAGGCUCCAACCCAACCUGUUUGGAUUUCUACCCUCCCCCUUCCUCUUUGUCUACUCUGUCUGUUCCUGACUCUAGUUGACAGAUGGCAGCAUGAGGCCAUAGAGAAGACUCACUCACUCCACAUAACCACCAUACUAAGUCCCAUUCAUACACUGUCAGCCUCCAGCUUAUCCCAACCACCUGGGAAAUACUUUGUCACCUUCGCCAAGUCUCCUACCUUAUUCCAUGCACAAGAAUUUCCUGGUCCUCUUAUUGUUGCGGUCUUGCAAGCUUCUCCUCCCCGCUUUGCUGAGAUCCAGACUUAUUUGUCACAAAGCGGGGGGGGGGCCCUGAUCUCCCUCAACCUAGGGGCACGGUAACUAGACAGUAGGAUGCGUCCCCUCCGGGUGGGGUGACCGAAGGCCCCCUUCCCAAAGGAGAAGAUUCGAGCCCCAAAGUUGGGCUCCAGAACUGUUAGGAAUAACGCUCAAAAUCUUAAGGAAAUUGAACACUUGAACAAAGGAUUCUUAGCAAAGCAAUUUUACUUCUGCGCAGAGAGGUGCCUCCUUGUCCAGUCGCCAUGAGAGCACACCUGAAAAAGGGGCACGAGAGCCUUUACUCCUGACACAAGUACUGCCCCUGUACCCUUUCUCCAUUGGCCAGGGUCAGGUCGUACAAUCUAAACUAAUCCUGGUUGGCUAAACAUUGGAUUUUUUUUAGAUAAGGUGGGCACGUAAAAAAGGCAGAGAAUAAAGGGGAAGGGGUGUCUGUAAUGAGCUAAAAAGUUAGUCCUCUUUCCAAAUAAGGAAAGGAAUGUGAGCAGGUACAGAUACCACCUGGUACUGUGGCAUGCCUGGGCAUGUAACAAAGGAAAAAAGAGAAAAAAGGAGAAAAAGGAAAAAAGGUGGAGGGAUUACUAUGAAUUAAAGAAUAAAAGAUUGAUCAGGUUAUCUGAAGAGAAACCUCAUCAUAUCCCACACAUCCAUCCAUCCAUCCAUCCAUCCAUCAUUCAUCCAUCCAUCCAUCCAUCCAUCCAUCCAUCAUUCAUCCAUCCCCAAUCCAUGUAUCCUUCCACCCAUCCCUCCUUCCAUUUGUCUUUCUAUCCAUCCUUCCUUCUUUCCAUGUUUCCAACCAUCCAUCCAUGCCUCCGUCCCUCCACCCAUCCAUUCGUCCAUCCAUUGUUCCAUCCAUUCCAUCUAUCUAUUUAUUCACCAGAUAUUAUUGAGGCGGGGAAUACAAUAAUUAACAGAACUCAAAAAUCCCUUCUCUCAUAGAGCUUACAUGCUAGUGGGUAGAAACAGGGUAAGCAAGCAAACAGCAAAUAUAUAAAAUACAUGACAUAUUGAUAAACAAAUGCUAUGGAGAAGAAGAAAACACUUAGAAGGGCAAGAAGAAAUAUCAGAGGAGGUAGGUUAAUUUUAAAUAGGGUGAUGAAGAAAGUCCUCUCUGAAAAGACGAUAAAUCGGCAAGGAAAUUAAAAAUACAAGUCAGAGAAUUAUUCUAAUAUCUGAGGGCAGAGCAUCCCAGGCAGUGAGAAUACCAAGGGCAAGAGCCCUGAGGCACAAGUACCUCUCUUGCGUAAUUUUUUAGUAACGGUCAAGGUCCUCUUGGUCCUCACCAACUCUCCCUAACUUAUCUGGGGGCUGAUAUUUUUGAACCAACAAAAGUGCUGGAAGGCAACACUGUAAGAUUUUAAGGGUGCAAAACUUUCAUGAAAUGUCUGGGAAAAUGCUGACAACAAAUGAGGAAAAACAAAUGAAUUAGGUAGAAUUUAAAAUUAAAUGUAAUCAAAUUCCACUGCAUUGUACAUUCAGAAUACGUAUUUUCUAAAAUCGAAAGGCUUGUUAAAUGAGAAUAAUUUCAAGUAAAAGUGUCUCUUUCAUUUGGUUUUCCCAGUGGAUGUAUAAAAUAACUAAUUGAGCUAAAUCUGUUAUUUUUUAAAUCCUUAAUGCCUCUCUAGAAUGUAAAAGUUCAUUUCCUAUUGUGGAAAUUUUGAAAAUUAUGUAAAAGAAUAACAAAAAUAAACUUGUUGCCAAACAACAUAGAAAAAAACCCUCUUAAUAUUCAAAUCUUUCUAGAUAGAUUUUCUUUUAUUUCUAAGUUUUGCUGGUUUGAUAGUGUAUAAAGCUUAUUUUAAUUUGCAUUUUUAUUACUAGUCUGUACAAUUUUUCAUGUCAUUUAAUGGUCAAUUUUAUGUAAAAACUUUCUUUGUGGCAUCUGAGAUUUUUCUUAUUUAUAUGAAUAAACUCUUUUGAUUAUAAGAAAAUUGCCAAA